UACGUAGGGUGCAAGCGUUAAUCGGAAUUACUGGGCGUAAAGCGUGCGCAGGCGGUUCUAUAAGACAGAUGUGAAAUCCCCGGGCUCAACCUGGGAACUGCAUUUGUGACUGUAGAGCUGGAGUGCGGCAGAGGGGGAGGGAAUUCCGCGUGUAGCAGUGAAAUGCGUAGAUAUGCGGAGGAACACCGAUGGCGAAGGCAAUCCCCUGGGCCUGCACUGACGCUCAUGCACGAAAGCGUGGGGAGCAAACAGG
rnacentral:rRNA from 1 species